rnacentral:rRNA from 1 species
CCUACGGGCGGCAGCAGUGAGGAAUAUUGGUCAAUGGGCGGAAGCCUGAACCAGCCAAGUAGCGUGCGGGAUGAAGGCCUUACGGGUCGUAAACCGCUUUUGCACGGGGAUAACACCCUCCACUUGUGGAGGUCUGCAGGUACCGUGCGAAUAAGGGCCGGCUAAUUCCGUGCCAGCAGCCGCGGUAAUACGGAAGGCCCGAGCGUUAUCCGGAUUCAUUGGGCUUAAAGGGUGCGUAGGCGGGCGUUAAAGUCAGCUGGAAAAUCCCGCGGCUCAACCGCGCCCCGCAGUUGAAACUGGACGCCUUGAGUGCACAACAGGCAGGCGGAAUUCGGGGUGUAGCGGUGAAAUGCAUAGAGAUCACGAGGAACCCCGAUUGCGAAGGCAGCCUGCCGGGGUGCGACUGACGCUGAGGCUCGAAGGUGCGGGUAUCAAACAGGAUUAGAUACCCCUGUAGUC